GGCGCCGUUUUGCAUUCGAUAGAAUGCGAGUCGAGAGUCGUAAGGCUCGGCGGACCGCUCAGUAACACGCGGAUAACAUGCCCUUGGGUGGAGGAUAAUCUCGGGAAACUGAGGAUAAUACUCCAUAGAUCUACUAUGCUGGAAUGCUUGUAGGUUCAAAACUCCGGUGCCCAAGGAUUGGUCUGCGGCGUAUCAGGUCGUAGUGGGUGUAACGGACCCACUAGCCGAUGACGCGUAAGGGCCUUGAGAGAGGGAGCCCUGAGAUGGACUCUGAGACAUGAGUCCAGGCCCUACGGGGCGCAGCAGUCGCGAAAACUUCACAAUGGGGGAAACCCCGAUGAGGGAAUUCCAAGUGUCAGCACAUUGUGUUGACUGUUCCCCAGUCCAAAAAACUGGAGAAGUAAGGGCCGGGUAAGACGGGUGCCAGCCGCCGCGGUAAUACCCGCGGCCCGAGUGGUGGUCGAUAUUAUUGAGCCUAAAACGUUCGUAGCCGGUCUUGUAAAUCCUUGGGUAAAUCGACCAGCUUAACUGUUCGAAGUCCGGGGAGACUGCAAGACUUGUGAUCGGGAGAGGUCAGAGGUACUUCUGGGGUAGGGGUAAAAUCCUGUAAUCCUAGAAGGACCACCGGUGGCGAAGGCGUCUGGCUAGAACGAAUUCGACGGUGAGGAACGAAGCCCUGGGGCGCAAACGGGAUUAGAUACCCCGGUAGUCCAGGGUGUAAACGCUGCGGGCUUGGUGUUGGGGGUCCUUAGUGGGCGCCCAGUGCCGGAGAGAAGUUGUUAAGCCUGCUGCUUGGGGAGUACGUCCGCAAGGAUGAAACUUAAAG
rnacentral:rRNA from 1 species